CUGUGAAUCAGUGAAUAAUUUCACAGUCCACCCACCCAGCAACACCCAAAACAGUGACGGAAAACACGGCCCAGGUCUCCUCAAAGUGCACAGGACAGGCGAGAGCUCCGAUUCUGCCCAAAUAAUACGCGGGCAUCGGAGCGACGAGCUAACAGGAGAUUAUCAUUUCCCACGGGCCGUCCUUCCUCCCCUUCUCUUUCGCAGCUCCAUCUCAUCCUCGAAAAACAUUAGACAAACUCAAACCGAAGGACGGUCUACAAAACGCCUCGACCCACAUUCCUCAAAACUGUCAAGGUCAUCAAACACAAGGAAGGACGAGAGCCUCUCACAGCCCAGAGGAGCCUAUGGAGUCAUGAUGAGCUGAAUCCUGACUGCUUUAUCCAGAUCCAAGAAUUGCCUUGAAUUUAUCAGAUAUAUAAACACAGGAUCACAAAUCCUACUGCAGCUACAAACCAAGGAAUGUGAUUUCUUUAUUUGCAACAGUAAAUUGCAUGAAAAUGCUCAUGAUAUGCCUUUGAAUAUAAUC